rnacentral:rRNA from 1 species
AUAAGUAACCUGCCCUAGACAGGGGGAUAACUAUUGGAAACGAUAGCUAAGACCGCAUAGGUACGGACACUGCAUGGUGACCGUAUUAAAAGUGCCUCAAAGCGCUGGUAGAGGAUGGACUUAUGGCGCAUUAGCUGGUUGGUGAGGUAACGGCUCACCAAGGCGACGAUGCAUAGCCGGCCUGAGAGGGCGGACGGCCACAUUGGGACUGAGACACGGCCCAAACUCCUACGGGAGGCAGCAUG